GGGAAUAUUGGACAAUGGGGGCAACCCUGAUCCAGCAAUGCCAUGUGUGUGAAGAAGGCCCUAGGGUUGUAAAGCACUUUAGUUGGGGAGGAAAGCCUCAAGGUUAAUAGCCUUGGGGAGGACGUUACCCAAAGAAUAAGCACCGGCUAACUCCGUGCCAGCAGCCGCGGUAAUACGGGGGGUGCAAGCGUUAAUCGGAAUUACUGGGCGUAAAGGGUCUGUAGGUGGUUUGUUAAGUCAGAUGUGAAAGCCC
rnacentral:rRNA from 1 species